AGCUUUGCGCAGUGGCAGUAUCGUAGCCAAUGAGGUUUACCCGAGAUGCGAUUAUUGGUAAUUGAAAAGAAGUUAUUAUGUAUAUUUACUAAUGUAAUCAUCACAACAAAUUGAUGAUGUAGGUACUAUAAAUGUCAUCCCAUCU